rnacentral:rRNA from 1 species
CAGCCGCCGCGGGAAUACGAAGGGGGCUAGCGUUGCUCGGAAUGACUGGGCGUAAAGCGUGCGUAGGCGGUUCGUUAAGUCUGUUGUGAAAGCCCCGGGCUCAACCUGGGAAUGGCAAUGGAUACUGGCGAGCUAGAGUGUGUCAGAGGAUGGUGGAAUUCCCGGUGUAGCGGUGAAAUGCGUAGAGAUCGGGAGGAACAUCAGUGGCGAAGGCGGCCAUCUGGGACAACACUGACGCUGAGGCACGAAAGCGUGGGGAGCAAACAGGAUUAGAUACCCGCGUAGUCCCUGUCUCUUAUAC